UACGUAGGGGGCUAGCGUUAUCCGGAAUUACUGGGCGUAAAGGGUGCGUAGGUGGUUUUUUAAGUCAGGAGUGAAAGGCUACGGCUCAACCGUAGUAAGCUUUUGAAACUGAAGAACUUGAGUGCAGGAGAGGAGAGUAGAAUUCCUAGUGUAGCGGUGAAAUGCGUAGAUAUUAGGAGGAAUACCAGUAGCGAAGGCGGCUCUCUGGACUGUAACUGACACUGAGGCACGAAAGCGUGGGGAGCAAACAGG
rnacentral:rRNA from 1 species